rnacentral:rRNA from 1 species
UCCGUAGGCGGUGCGGCAAGUCGGAAGUGAAAUCUCUGGGCUUAACUCAGAGGCUGCUUCCGAAACUGCCGUGCUCGAGUGCGAGAGAGGCAAGUGGAAUUGCGGGUGUAGCGGUGAAAUGCGUAGAUAUCCGCAGGAACAUCCGAGGCGAAAGCGGCUUGCUGGAUCGCAACUGACGCUGAGGGACGAAAGCUAGGGGAGCAAACAGGAUUAGAUACCCUGGUAGUCCUAGCCCUAAACCAUCAGGACUUGGGGUUUGCCCUGUUACGGGGCAAGUCCCGGAGCUAACGCGUUAAGUCCUGCGCCUGGGGAGUACGGUCGCAAGGCUGAA